UUUGACAAUUAUAAUUGCAUCAAAUGUUAGUAUUUAAACCUUGAAAAUCAAAUCUAGUAUCAUAGUUUCGGACAGAUUAGUACUCAUUACAGGCAGGCAGGCAAGGUAUUUUACUUUUUUAUUUAUCUAAUUUUAACGAUUGCUUUUAUAGACAUACGACAUACAACUUGCGCAGAGAAUUACUCGACGAAAUCCUAAAUUUUAACAAUUGACCUUAUAAUUGUUAUCGUUUAUUCCAAGAUGAAAUAGGGUAAUGAAACCAUUACUGCUGGUUAUAAACCUCACAGACACUAUUUGUAUUUGUGUUCAUUUUAAAAGGAACGAACAUGCAGUUAAAAUUAGCAAAGCGUAAACAUCCUAGCGUGGAUUAAUGUUGAGUUUCCUCAUUAAAUCACGGAUAAGAAGUAACUUUAUUCAUAUACAAUUAUGGUUUUGGUAUAGAUUCACAUGGAAAAGUGACAAAACGAUUGAUUCCGACGAUAUUUUGUUGUUUGCUUAGUUUGCAGGGCAUUUAAUUUCGUUACAGUCAGGUUAAUUUACUAUGGGGACCGGUUUCAACGAUAACAGUUUUAGUAUUUCAAAUUAAAAGACUCACAAGCAUGUAUGUUCAUGAUUUUUAUUUAAAUUCUUCAGCGGUUUAUGUUUAUCAUAUUUUUCCUUGUUAAAGUUCAUUUGAAUCAAUUUUCGUUUUAUUUCUGAUACAGUAAUUUUAGCGACUACGAUUCAUUGUUUUUACGGCUGGGACAAUGUCAUGUAUGGUAUUAAAUCGAAUUGCCGGGGGAUAAAAAUCUAUACAAGAUAAACAUGUAUACAUAGUCGUUGAUGAUGAAAACAAAUAUGUAAAAAAUUGUCACUUAAUAAAAAGCGUUCAAGACAGUUACUUCGAUUGCAACACCGAUUAGCAAAUAAAUGGGUAUUUAUUUUCUACAACUUGCGCAAAGCUUCGCAACAUAGAAUCAGACAAAACAUUAUGAAACUAAACUCGUUUUACCGUCUCAUAUAUUUGUUUUAGGUAUAAUGUUUGAUACCACUUUUGAUAAUAUUAUCUGGGCAAUGCUAUACGUUUAGAUUAUACAAGAUAUUAAGUAAUUCAAUGACACACAAUGUUAAUAUAUAGCUUUUUUCAGAUGUUUCCCACUUUAACAGCUAUAUUGUUCUUUGUCCUAAUAAGCGGCACCACGACAAGCGGUUGCAAGCAAUGUACAGCCAACGGGCAGCAAUAAAGGGGAAAUUCCCGAUUUCAGAUUAAAGACGGCUGUUUGCGUUAUAAUUGCAUGUGUAACUGUGAUGGUAGUUGGAACUGCCUUACUCGGGAUACAACAAACGCCUGUUUUGGAUCAAACAAUGGUGGGUCUCAUUCGAAUUGCAGACAAUGUCAACUCAGUGAACAAACAUACGCUGGAAAUAGUCGUUUUCAAUAUACCGAUGGCUGUUACCGGUUUAACUGUGACUGCCACUGUGACGGAAGUUGGACUUGCCCUGGAAGCAGAACACAAAACCUUUGCUGAAAAAUGUAUUAUGUGUCAUUGAACUGCAUUUGAUUAAAGAUUAAUCUUGAAUAUUUUUUUCGUUAUGGAACUUAUUUCAAAAUGAUCAACACAUGUACAAAGUUAUCAAAAUGUCGCUAGAAGUAGACAAUCAGUCUUCGAGAGUAUUAUCGGAACAGCACUUCAGUAAUGACAAGAUUUAUACCUAGCCAUUCUAUAUAUGUUUGUUAACAAAUUGUGAAAACAUUCCGAAACAAAAUUUGCAGACCCCUCGUUCGUAGUUGACCUUUGAAUACAUUCAGCUUUAAUUUCUGGUAAAUUUAGCUCCUCAACUGAUUUAGUUCUUUCAUACCCUUAGGUUUCAAAUAUUGAACUUUUCGGAAGAAGGUUUUUUCCAGAAAAGCUCUUCGGACGCAUGGAAUUUAUAAAAUGUUGAAAUCCUGUUUCUUUACCAUUCAAUCUUAUCACUGUUUUGAAUGUUUUCUCGCUGUGAAUGAUUGGUACAUGUACGUGCAAUAACAAGUCAAAAGAUACUUAAGGAACAUUCAAGCUAAUACGACAAAAAUAAACCCACAACACGAGUACAAAAAGAGCGAAACGAUCAACAAUUGCAUACAAAUCACAACAUAGAAAACUAAAGAGUAAGCAACACG
rnacentral:lncRNA from 1 species